GGUGAAAUUCCAAUCGAACUCGGAUAUAGCUGGUUCUCCUCGAAAUAGCUUUAGGGCUAGCCUCAAGGUAAAGAUACACGGGGGUAGAGCACUGACUGUUCGCGGGGCCUUCACCGGUUACCAACAACUAUCAAACUCCGAAUACCGUGCUAUCAUACUUGGGAGUCAGACUAUGAGAGAUAAGUUCCAUGGUCGAAAGGGAAACAGCCCAGAUCAACAGCUAAGGUCCCAAAGAGUAAGUUAAGUGGAAAAGGAUGUGGGAUUGCACAAACAGCUAGGAUGUUGGCUUAGAAGCAGCCAUACAUUUAAAGAGUGCGUAAUAGCUCACUAGUCGAGUGAUCCUGCGCCGAAGAUAAACGGGGCUCAAACUUACCACCGAAGCUUUGGAAUUAGUAUAACUAAUUGGUAGAGGAGCAUUCUAUACAGGUAGAAGGAGGCGCGUAAGCAAAUCUGGACGGUAUAGAAGAGAGAAUGUUGGCAUGAGUAGCGUAAGGCGGGUGAGAAUCCCGUCCGCCGAAAAUCUAAGGUUUCCUGAGGAAGGUUCGUCCUCUCAGGGUAAGUCGGGACCUAAGCCGAGAGCGAACGCUGUAGGCGAUGGACAACAGGUUGAUAUUCCUGUACCACCAAGGAUUGUUUGAAUGAAGUGGGGACACAGAAGGAUAGAUUGAGCACGCCGUUGGUUGAGCGUGUCCAAGCAGUAAGGCUUGAAAGUAGGCAAAUCCGCUUUCUACAAGGCUGAGCUGUGAUGGGGUGGUCGAAUGACCGGUAGCAAUCGAUUUCACGCUGUCAAGAAAAGCCGCUAAUGAGAUCCAAGGUGCCCGUACCGCAAACCGACACAGGUAGAUGAGGAGAGAAUCCUAAGGUGAGCGAGAGAACUAUUGUUAAGGAACUCGGCAAAAUAACCCCGUAACUUCGGGAGAAGGGGUGCCUGCUUCGGCAGGCCGCAGUGAAGAGGUCCAGGCAACUGUUUACCAAAAACACAGGUCUCUGCUAAAGCGAAAGCUGAUGUAUAGGGGCUGACGCCUGCCCGGUGCUGGAAGGUUAAGGGGAAGUGUUAGGGCAACCGAAGCACAGAACUUAAGCCCCAGUAAACGGCGGCCGUAACUAUAACGGUCCUAAGGUAGCGAAAUUCCUUGUCGGGUAAGUUCCGACCCGCACGAAAGGCGUAAUGAUUUG
rnacentral:rRNA from 1 species